CCUGUUGCGCUCCCCUGGCUGCCCGCCUCUUGCUCCACUUUUGAAUUGAGGCCACCCGCACGGGUGGGCUGGUGGGACAGGCGGUGCUGGUGGUGCUGGAACACGCUGUGCCUCAUGGACACCCUCUGGAGGCCUUGGCUUCCUUGAAACGCUGUGUUUGGUCCACUGCAUCGUGGGCACGUGUGGGGAGUGCAGCAGGCCUGUAUUAUCCCUCACUGCAGGCUGGCUGCCGUGCUGCCUGUGGCACAGCCACAUCUGAGGCUGAUCCCUCACACCCAGCGGGAAGGCUGUGCUUGGGCUUUCCCAGUCACAGCUGCCCAAAGGCUCUGUUGGAGCAGCAGAGCUCACUCUGUCAGCCCUGGCACAUGUGGGCUGUUCUCAGAGUUUGCAGGGAAACACUGCUUGUGUGCCCUGGCUAGAGGUCCCUGAUGCCUGCAUGGUACCAGGCAGGUUCCCUGGCAGUUGUCAUCUGUGCAGGAGUAUGCUGAGACCACCUAAGGUCUCCUGAUUUCCCUGUGGGUUCAGGUUAUUCCAGGUAUGAGUCAGAGCCUUCUGCAAGUGUGCCAGUAGUGUUCAGGGAGCUAAUCCCAGGAAAGAGAUGAAAAAUAACCCUGCGAAGUGUUAGUUUAGUGUGAACAGUAGGUACCUGGGCAAUUCCUAGGGAAGUAUAGGAACCUGGUGUUUGCAGCAGAGCAUGUAACUUCUGUGCUCCUGUUCCUUCCCUCUGUGAGCUGAUCCCCAAGAAGAGAGAGACUGUGACUCCCUGUGGCUUAGCCCUUCUGCAUAUGUCCUCUCUUGCCAUCCUUGUGCUCUUUGGGAUUUGAAGAAAGUAAGUGUGUGCUAACAUCUGCUCCAGCUCUCCUUGAAAAUUAUCACCAGGAAGUGCUUGGCACGAGAAUUGUUCCUUUGUGUGAAGCUUUUGCCUUCGAUCAGGGUGAACUUUCUGUUGAAGCCAAUGGCUUUGUCUUGUGGGAGCAGAGGUCGAAUGGAUGCUUCUGCAGUGCUUGUUUUGUGUGUUCUCUGCCAACAGCAGUAGUGUCAGGAUUGGCAUAAGGUCAGGACUGCUUCUCCUACCAGCACAUCUGCCAUAUGGCAGAACAUGCUGAUGGUGAUACGGACUGGUUUCUGAAGGAAGCUGGAGAUGCUGAGGACUGUCCCUAGGGAAUCUUUUUUGAGUGAACAGACACUCUUCCAAAUUUUUUUUUUUUUUUUUUUUUUGACUACAGCAAUGGGGUUUGAAAAGAGAGGACACAGGCAACAGAAGCCAGUGCCCCUUUAAUUCUGUGACCUGCAAAGUAAUGCACAGGGGAGCUCUCUUCCCUGUGUGCACUGCAGUUCAUACAUAAAAUGUGUAUUCCUAGAAGCUAAUUUGCAUCUUUGAAACACCAGUCUGAGCUCUUCCUUAACACAAAAAUCUUUGUGGUGCAGUUGCUUCCCGGUCACCUCAGCUUGGAUUGUGAGAGCUGGACAAGGUACCCCUACCCCACAGCCUGCUGCCGCAAGUGAUAACUGCCAGAGGGUUUGGCUUUGGCCACACUGGGACGACGUGGGGAUUUUGAUCUGUCCAAGUGUGGCAGCAAAUGCUGCUGUUCCUGAGGUGUGCCAGCAGCUUAGGUGGGUGAGAUGAAUGCAAUACAGAGAACACCCUGCUUGUAGUGAAAUAGAUGAGACCCAGGAACACAAGGAUUUUGCAGGUGGUAGUGAACGCUGCAACAUCUGAAGCCCUAUGCAGAUAUGCAGGAGUUUACUAUCUGUGCUGGCAGAACCUGUACCUGCAGGGUUGGAGGACUAAAGCUUUGAGGGUGAACUGUCCUCUCAUUCUAUUCCUCUUCCAAGAAUGUCACAGAGCCAGGAGGGUGUCCUGCUGAGUGCAGGUAGCAGUGCUGCUGCUGGGAGCAAUGAAGCUGCAACAAAGCGGGGUGGCUCUGCUGGGACUAGCCAUGGGGCUACUGGUACUUGGUUUCUAAGGCAUUUUGUCUUCGCAGAGCUUCCUGAGAGCUGGGCUGAUAUGCAGGAGCCGCUGCUUGAGGGCAUGUGCUUCACGCUUAAGUAUCUUGGCAUGACGCUGGUAGAAAAACCCAAAGGAGAAGACAUGGCUGCUGCUGCCAUCCGCAGGAUCGUGGCCACGGCACGGGCAGGCGCUCGCAAGUUCCAGAAGGUGAUUCUGACAGUGUCUCCGAGAGGCAUCUCACUGCAGGAUGCAGACACAAAGGAGAUGGUUGAGAACAUCUCCAUCUACAGGAUCUCCUACUGCACAACAGACAAGCUGCAGAACAAAGUCUUUGCUUAUGUUGCCCAGAGCCAGGAGAGCGGGGCACUGGAGUGCCAUGCCUUCCUCUCACCCAAGAAGAAGAUUGCUCAGGCUGUGACUCUGACUGUGGCCCAGGCCUUCCAGAUGGCACUGGAUCUCUGGGAAGCAGCACAUGCAGGCUCUAGGCAGGAACAGCCCCUUCACCCUUCAUGUGUCUUGGAGAGCAGUGAGCCCAGCAGACCAAGUGAGCCAGCCCCCCCGGGGAGCCCUCCCUUCAGACACCAGUUUGGGGACCCUGUUGAUGUCUGCACAGCCUCCCCCACACACGGUGGCCUGACAUGAAGAAGGGCGCUAUGCUCUGUCUGGCUCACAAAGCAGGCACAAUUCCUCAGGUGGCCUUUGCUCCAGGAGCUUUCCUGACAGACCCAGCAUUGCUGCAGCCUUCAGCCCUGCUCUGCUGGCACUGUCAAACAGCAAACGGGGAUCUGCUCUGCACAUGGUGCCAUGGCUAGGGGUGAGACACUGUCUCUGAAGCAGAGGACCCUUUGGUCAUCAUCUUGCCAGCCUGGGCUAAGGCUCCGCCCUGCCCAUUUGCACUACACCUACUGCAUGUCCAGAGCCAGUCAGAGCAUUGCCAGUGUUGCCGGUCUCACUGUGUCCCUGCCCAGGAGCCUCUGGAUGCUUGGUCUUUGGCUUCCUGCUUCCAGUGCUAGCCCAGCCUGGCAGUGCUUGGGAUCAUACUUGCUUACAGCCUGGGUGAUCCUCUGCCUGGCUCUCCAGCUGCAAGAUGUGCUCACCCCACUACUGUCUGGGCAAAGGUGCCCUUUAUCUGUGCCAUGCCUGGUGGGUGACUGUGGCUUGUGAAGGGACCAGGGACUGCUCUGCUCCUCCAGAAUAGGCUCUGGGUGGACCAGCCUCACUCCUAGCAGCGAUCUGUCCAGGCAGUGAGGUGUCAUGGUGGGUUUUUUUGGUUUGUUUGUUUGCCAGGAGGAGGAAGAGGAGGAAGAAGAUGAUAACGUCUUUAAAACCUUAUCUGGGUAAGUGGUGAGCUGCCGCUUGUGUUCAGGCAUCUCACUGGUAAACCCUGUCUUGUUUCCUUCUCUGUGCCCGUGCAGGGGGAGCUUCUGGGGCCAUGGGCAUGGUGGGAGCAUAGAGGAAAUUGCAUGGGGGCAAUGGGGAGAUCCUGCUGCUUUCUCUGUCAGCUGAACAGGGGGCUGGGAUGUGGAGGGGCAGAUCUUGCAGCUCAGCUUUUGCAGUGGAGCUGUGGGGGACAGAUGCUGACCCUCAGGAUGUACCCAGAGGUGUUACUUGUUCUGUUUCUGCCAUUCUUUGCAGAGGCCAGCCUGUCCAGACAUGCUUCUCUAGUGGGACUAGGAGGGGUGUCCCCCUCCUCCCAUUGAUUUCCCCUGGGGCUUGGUCCAGGAUGGAGGCCUGGUCAUGCUGACUUCUGUGUGGGCUAGGGCAUGGAGCUGAGCUUGCUGGUGUCUGUCCCUUGUUUGGGAGGAGCCGGUGGUACCAGUCCAGCAGUGGAGGAUUAACCUGUAGGUCUAAGCAACCCAAUCUAGUCGAAGAUGUCCCUGCUUAUUGCAGGGGGGUUGGACUAGCUGAACUUUGAAGGUCCCUUCCAACCCAAACUAUUCUGUGUGAUUCUGUCUUUGCAGAAGUGCCUGUGGUGGUGGGUGCGAGAGGCCUCUUCCAUUGUGGCUGUUCUCUGUGGCACCACAGGGCUGAGCUGGUGUCAGCCAGGAACCACUGUGUGCACAGACUAAGCUUUGUAUGUGGCUGUGUGAAGUGGCAGCCCGUUAUAUGUGGGAGCUCCUGGUGGGAAGGAGAUGUGGCUUUGCAGCCUCAGGACAGGCUGGCCUGGGGAAAGGGUUUGGUAGCAAGUGGGUGAGGACCUUUUUUGCUCCGAGUGCUUGGUACUGCUGCGCCAUGCCUGUGUUGUCAGGGUCAUGAGCAUGCUGUGUCUCUCAGCAGGCCUUGCUUGGGGUAUGAUGGGUGCUCUCUUCUCUUCCAAAGCAGCAUGGAGGAGCUGGGGAGGGGAGCUCACAGUCCAGCAGAGUCAGCACCUCUUGUGCCCAGAGUGAGCUCUCCUACUGCACAGCUACUGUGCUACCGUUUGGGGCAACCCCCAGACAGCUGGAAGGGGCUGGCAAGGGUUGGAGACCUCCCCACAGGUGACCCCAGGACUGCUGGCCCCAAAACUCCCCUGGGCUAAGCCAAAUCUCUGCAACCAUGGACCAGCCACUCAGGAUUCACCCUGUGCCUGCUUCUGGGCCAGACAGUGCCUGCUCCUGCCACUGCCCACCAGGCGUGGGGUCUGCUGGCACCAUUGCCAUGCAGUGCACAGACUGUGACACCCGCUCCUUGUCCUGCUUUCUGCCUGCAUGAACUGCCUCAAGCUGCAGCUGUUCCCAGCUCAGGCUGGUGGACCAAUGCUUCUCGCUCUGCCUGCUCCCAGUGCAUGCAGAGCCACCCCAAGUGCUCUGAGCCUGCAGGAUGCAGCCAGUGUGCCUUGGAUUGCACUGUGUCUGACCUGCCUUGCUUGUUUCUCCCACCUUGCUCCUCGUGGUGGCAGCUGGGGACCAGCUGAAGCUGAGCAGCCCCCCUGGAGGUGGUGGAGGAUUUGCUCAGCAUGCAUGACCCUCAGGGAGCAAUAGCUCUCUGCCUGGAGGAGUGAAUGAGGAAGGCCUUGCCCCUGCCGUUCAGCCCCGCACCGUCUCACGAGUGAAAUGAGCUGGUUUUUACCGGAAAGCUAUGCCCUUAUAGGGAAUAAAAUGAAUUUUUUACUGUUGUCA